rnacentral:rRNA from 1 species
AAUAGAUACCCGGGUAGUCCACGCCGUAAACGAUGAGUGCUAAGUGUUAGAGGGUUUCCGCCCUUUAGUGCUGCAGCUAACGCAUUAAGCACUCCGCCUGGGGAGUACGGUCGCAAGACUGAAACUCAAAGGAAUUGACGGGGGCCCGCACAAGCGGUGGAGCAUGUGGUUUAAUUCGAAGCAACGCGAAGAACCUUACCAGGUCUUGACAUCCUCUGACAACUCUAGAGAUAGAGCGUUCCCCUUCGGGGGACAGAGUGACAGGUGGUGCAUGGUUGUCGUCAGCUCGUGUCGUGAGAUGUUGGGUUAAGUCCCGCAACGAGCGCAACCCUUGAUCUUAGUUGCCAGCAUUUAGUUGGGCACUCUAAGGUGACUGCCGGUGACAAACCGGAGGAAGGUGGGGAUGACGUCAAAUCAUCAUGCCCCUUAUGACCUGGGCUACACACGUACUACAAUGGAUGGUACAAAGGGCUGCGAGACCGCGAGGUCAAGCCAAUCCCAUAAAACCAUUCUCAGUUCGGA